GAUUGUUCUGCAAUAAAUUAAAUAAAUGGCCAGAAAUCCCGCUUUGAAAACAAAGCAUAUUGAAGUGCACUAUGACUUUUUAGGAGAAAAAGUUUCUUCAUUGAGAGGUAAAGAUGCUGACAGUAAAGAUGGAUGAAUAAUUAGCAAACUCAUUCACGGAAGGCAAGGUAGUGCAAAGCUAAAAAAUUCUAACAACUUAGGAUGACUUACAAAGCUAGUUAAAAGAAAAGGAAAGUUUUGAGCGGGGGAAAAUUGAGAUAUCAACAGUAACUUUUAGAAUAGAGCACGGCUCGAAGAUGGCCACUACCACAGCUAUUGUCUGUAUCGAUCAUCCCAAUAACUGCAAAUUAGCGGCCUCACCAACCAAGCCUUCACUGUUCUUCAUCAAUUGUCUUGAAGACCGAGCAGAUGUGUUCGUCCACUGAUAUUCAUCUCCAAUAUUAAUAAAGAAGCUUGGAGCUCACAGAGGCGACAACCCCACUUCCCCUUCACAUCUAUAAAAAAGGAGCUUUCCUCCCAUUCAUAUCCAUCUCUCUCCGAUUUCCAUGUGAGCUGAAAUAGAGGGGCCGAUGAGAGGGGGGAGAUCGUGAGGGAAGGGAGAAAGGUUUAGGGCUUGAAUAUCGAGGUCCUGUUUGGUUAUGUGUUUUGAGUGGGCUUGUGCUUGUUGUAGCCUAUCGGGGUUUUGGGCAUGCUUUGUGUUUUAUUUUUUGGUGCCUUUUUUACUGCCUUCUUGGUCGUGCAUCUCUAUCUCUCUCUCUCUCUCUCUCUCUCUCUCUCUCUCUCUCUCUCUCUCUCUUUCUCUCUCUCAUUUGAUGUAUGUAGUUUUCUUGGUCAUGGAUCUCUGUCUGUCUCUCUCUCUCUUGUAUUUGAUAUAUGUGGUUUGCCUGUGGAAAAUAUUAUUUCAUUUUACCAUUUCUGUGUGAAUUGUGGUUGCCUUGAUCAUAUUCUGAGAGUUUUGUUUACAAUUUCUCUGUGACUUGUUGGAGUUAAAUUGAAAGAAUAUUCACUACGCAUACUGCCUUGUAUGUUUGUUUCCAAUUGUAUAGAAUUAGCCUAAUUGCCAGCAUGCUAAAACUUCCAAUUUUAGCUCACUUUCCCUACCUUAAUAUAUAAAGGAAAAAACAUGCUU
rnacentral:lncRNA from 1 species